AAGAGAAUGAUUAAACAAUUAAAAGCUUUCUUUAAUUGAAUAAUUGAAUUUAAUUUUUUAGUGCAAAAGCAAAAAUAAAAAUUAGGGACAAGAAGACCCUAUGAAUUUUUUAUUAAAUUUUAUAAAACUUUAUAUAAAAUUUAAUUUAAUUGGGGUGAUGGAAAAAGAAUAAAUAUCUUUUUUUUAAAAAAAAAUUGGUUCCGUUUUUAGCGAUUAAAUGAAAAAAAUACUCUAGGGAUAACAGCGUAAUAAUUUUGGAUAGUUCAUAUAGAUAAAAUAGUUUGCGACCUCGAUGUUGGAUUAGGAUUCUUUUUUGGUGAAGAAGUUAAAAAAAGAAGUUUGUUCAACUUAUAAUUUCCU
rnacentral:rRNA from 1 species